rnacentral:rRNA from 1 species
UACAGAGGUCUCAAGCGUUGUUCGGAUUCAUUGGGCGUAAAGGGUGCGUAGGUGGCGUGGUAAGCGGGUGUGAAAUUCGACGCUUAACUCCGAAACUGCAUUCGAUACUGCUGGUGCUUGAGGACUGGAGAGGAGACUGGAAUUUCAUGGUGUAGCAGUGAAAUGCGUAGAGAUCGUAGGAAGACCAGUGGCGAAGGCGGGUCUCUGGACAGUUCCUGACACUGAGCACGAAGGCCAGGGGAGCAAACGGGGAUUAGAACCUAC